rnacentral:rRNA from 1 species
UACGUAGGGCGCAAGCGUUGUCCGGAAUUACUGGGCGUAAAGGGCGCGUAGGCGGUCAGCACAAGUCAGUUGUGAAAUCUCCGGGCUUAACUCGGAAAGGUCAACUGAUACUGUGCGACUAGAGUGCGGAAGGGGCAACUGGAAUUCUCGGUGUAGCGGUGAAAUGCGUAGAUAUCGAGAGGAACACCUGCGGCGAAGGCGGGUUGCUGGGCCGACACUGACGCUGAUGCGCGAAAGCGUGGGGAGCAAACAGG